rnacentral:rRNA from 1 species
AGAGGAGCUUGCUCCUUUGACGUUAGCGGCGGACGGGUGAGUAACACGUGGGCAACCUACCUUAUAGUUUGGGAUAACUCCGGGAAACCGGGGCUAAUACCGAAUAAUCUGUUUCACCUCAUGGUGAAAUAUUGAAAGACGGUUUCGGCUGUCGCUAUAGGAUGGGCCCGCGGCGCAUUAGCUAGUUGGUGAGGUAACGGCUCACCAAGGCGACGAUGCGUAGCCGACCUGAGAGGGUGAUCGGCCACACUGGGACUGAGACACGGCCCAGACUCCUACGGGAGGCAGCAGUGGG